rnacentral:lncRNA from 1 species
CACCGGAAAGGCACCUCUUCCCACCAUAAGUGAAACUGACUGAAUCCUUUUGUCUGCUGCAGGAAAACAAAGGAUUGAUAAUGGCAGCAAGACGCAACGCCAGGGAAAUCACCAAAAACCGGGGCAGAAAUUUUUUUACCGAUUGUCAAAAAUUUUCUCGGAAGAACGGGGAAACAAUCUCAAUACAUUUAAGUUCUAGGUCGCCCACCAGUAUAAUGCGGGAAUACAUUUAAGUUCUAGGUCGCCCACCAGUAUAAUGCGGGAAUACAUUUAAGUUCUAGGUCGCCCACCAGCGCCCACCAGUAUAAUGCGGGAAUACAUUUAAGUUCUAGGUCGCCCACCAGUAUAAUGCGGGAAUACAUUUAAGUUC